ACUGCUACUUUCUGUAGGUCUACACGUUACCGUCCUCUCCUGACGACCAUUCAUCAUUUAACUCAAAUGUUAUUUGUGGAAAUAUGUUCAUAUUUGCGGUGCGAAGUUUGUUACAAUUUAAGAUAGAGAACGAAUCGUUAAUGUAAUGAACGGUUAUUAGAACACCUGUAAAGCGGAGUGAUACAUGUAUAGUUAAAAGUCCCAGUGGUGUUGUUCUCUACUCCAGUCAAAUAACUUGGUUUUAUUAUAAAUACUGAACAUCAUUUUCACUUCUUUCAGCCCUUUUCAUCGAAAGCAGUGGGAACGUUUUACUUGCGUUUGCGGUUCAAGAUGCUUUGACGGUGCGUCAUCUGCUGCGUUUUUAUUACUUUUUCAUUAAAACUGUUAUUGAGUCAUAUCAAUAGAUUUUACAGUCGCAGCCCAGAUUUCUGUUUGCUCUGUGGUAUUGACGGAUGCUCUGAGGAAUAUAGAGUGUACAAUUCCUUCCAUCAUGUAAAGAGAAACUACCUUCAACACCUACUUGAUUGCACCCGACGAGAUGAACAGCCAUCAUAGGAAAGCCAAGCACCACCGGAAGAAGACAACAUUCAACCCGAUAGUCUUGUAGUUAACUCCAGCAUCACUGAUCAGCAACUCCAUCCAUCUGACUCGGAUGAAGGGCAAAGGGGCAUUGACCAACAUGGAGCUGUCACAGUGCAACAAAAAGGUGUGAAUGACAUUGUUGCUGGGGUACAGCAGUAUCAAUCACCACUAUUGGACAACCUCAGGAAGCAGAUGGAGGCAGUGCUAAAGAAGCAUUCAGGAAGCACAUCAGGUCAACUUGAAAAAGAUGCAAUGGAUAUAUAUGACAAUUUCAUUGACCCUUUUGCUGGCGUUGCAACAUUUAGACAGGACAGUGUUACUAAGAAGCAGUUUAGCAGUUUGGAUGCAGAGGAAAUUCUAAUUGCUGGAACCAUAUGCAGGAUGAAAUGUGGAGGAUCAAAAGACAUUUUCAUCAAAGACAAAUUAUUUUAUUAUGUACCAUUAGUCAAAAGUCUAGAGCAGUUCUUAUCACACCCAAGGAUUUUGUCUAUGGUUGAAAAGGGACCCCAGAUGUGCAGGGCAAGUUGUUUUCAUGACAUUGUUGAUGGUGCUCUUCUAAAAUCACAUCCCUUAUUUUCAGAGAAACCAAAUGCAUUGCAGAUUGUUCUGUACACGGAUGAAAUAGAGAUCUGUAACCCACUAGGAUCCUUUGCAUCAAAAAACAAGUUGUUAAUGGUGUACUACACCCUAGGAAAUAUAAAUCCAAAAUACAGGUCUAAACUGGCAGCUAUCAGGCUACUUGCCAUGGCUAGAUCAGCAGACCUCUGUCAAUCUGGUGUAGAUGUAAUAUUGAAUAGAAUCAAGGAAGACAUGGAUGUAUACAUAUGUGAACUGAUUGCCCCCCCAUCUAUCGUCAGAGCUCGUGCUGCUAGGUGACCUAAACUUGGACAUGCUUAACACCCCAGCCAUCCUACAAUCUAAGCUUG